GACGUAGGUGGCGAACGUUAUCCGGAAUUAUUGGGCGUAAAGGAUGCGUAGAUGGUGUAGUAAGUUAUCGGUGGUAAAUCGAGGCUCAACCUCGUGGAAGUCGGUAAUACUUUUUAUGCUAGAGGAUAGGAGAGGUUAACGGAACUCCCUGUGGAGCGGUGAAAUGCGUAGAUAUAGGGAAGAACACCAAUAAAGGCGAAGGCAGUUUAACUAUUCUAUUCCUGACAUUGAGGCAUUGGAAAAGCGUGGGGGAGCAAAACUGG
rnacentral:rRNA from 1 species